rnacentral:rRNA from 1 species
CUACGGGACGCUCCAGUGAGGAAUAUUGCACAAUGGGGGGAACCCUGAUGCAGUAACGCCGCGUGGAGGAUGACGCAUUUCGGUGUGUAAACUCCUUUUAUAUGUCAAGAAAAUGACGGUAGCAUAUAAAUAAGCACCGGCUAACUCCGUGCCAGCAGCCGCGGUAAUACGGAGGGUGCAAGCGUUACUCGGAAUCACUGGGCGUAAAGGACGCGUAGGCGGGUUGGAAAGUCAGGUGUGAAAUCCUACAGCUUAACUGUAGAACUGCACUUGAAACUUCUAAUCUAGAGUAUGGGAGGGGGAGAUGGAAUUAGUGGUGUAGGGGUAAAAUCCGUAGAUAUCACUAGGAAUACCUAAAGCGAAGGCGAUCUCCUGGAACAUUACUGACGCUAAGGCGUGAAAGCGUGGGGAGCAAACAGGAUUAGAUACCCCAGUAGUC